AGCCUUUAAGUUUGGUUUGUAUUCAGUGUGGGGCUUGGAUAAAGAAUUUGCAUUGCUUUGACAGAGCCAAGGAGAUAUAGUUCCACAGUUCAUCCUCCACAACAAGAGCUGUCACCAGGAGAGGAACAGGAGGUGCAAGAACCCCACCAUGGUAGCGGACAUCUCCACACAAACUGAAGGCGUUCAACAGGCAACGCAGACAACCGAUGUGGAGGAUCUAAUGUCCAGAAUGCAACUGCUGGAGAGCAAGUUUUUAACUCAAGCUCAGUGCUCGGAGAACUGGAUGCAGUCCCUGGAGGAAGCCAUAUGAAAAAUGGAGAGCCUUUGGAUCACCAGACUACACAGGAGACUUCAAUUUCUGGAGUCAUUCCACUGUGCGCAACAAGCGGCUCAUGAGGCUCCGGUGCACCGCUAAGAUUUCCGGUGCACCGCUAACAAUUCCCAUGAGAGUUUGUAAAGGUUCAGUUAUUGUUAUUGU